UACAAUUAUAAUAAAGUAUCAGAAAGAUGAAUAAAAAAAAUCCCAUUUACAGUUGCAUCAAAAAGAACAAAAUAUCUAGGAGCAAAUUUAACCAAAGAGGUGAAAGACCUAUACACUGAAAACUGUAAGAUAUUGAUGAAAGAAAUUAAAGAUACAAAUAAAUGGAAAAAUGUUUUUUGGUUUUUUUUUAGGGCAGCACCUGUGGCAUACAGAAGUUCCCAGGCUAGGGGUUGAAUCAGAGCUGCAGCUGCCAGCCUAUGCCAUAGCCACAGCAAGCAAUGCAGGAUCUGAGCUCUGUCUGCGACCUACACCACAGCUUGCAGCAAUGCCAGAUCUUUAACCCACUGAGCAAGGCCAGGGAUCAAACCUGCCUCCUCAUGGAUACUAGUCAGGUUCAUUACUCACUGAGCCACAAUAGGAACUCUGUAAAAAUAUUUUUUUACUCAUGGAUUGGAAGAAUUUAUAUUGCUAAAAGUUUCCAAUAUAUGCAAUAUACUACAUAUAUUCAGUUCAAUCUCUAUCAAAAUUCCAAUGCCACUUUUCACAAAACUAGAACAAAUAAUACUCAAAUUUGUAUGGAACACAAAAGAUCCCAAAUAGCCAAAGCAAACUUGAGAAAGAAGAACAAAGCCAGAGGUAUCACAAUACCUGAUUUAAACUAUAGUCCAGAGCUAUAUUAAUCAAAACAGUAAGGUAUUCAUAUAAAAACAGGCACCUAUGUCAGUGGAACAGAAUAGAGAGCCCAAGAGUUCCUGUCAUGGCUCAGCAGAAACGAAUCCAUCUGUGAUAACAUGAAUGGACCUUGGAGGCAUUAUGCUAAGUGAAAUAAGUCAGACAGAAAAAUACAAAUACUGUGUGAUUUCACUUAUAUGUAGAAUCUAAAAAACAAAGCAAAUGAAACUAAACAGAACCCAUCAUAGACACAGAAAACAAAAAGUGGUGGCCAGGGGGGAGGAGGAUAAAUGGGAUCAAGAGAUACAAACUUCUAGUUGUAAAAUAAAUCAGUUGCGGAGGUAUAAUGUACAGCAUGGGAAAUACAAUCAAUUACAUCGUGUUGACUUUGUAUGGUGACAGAUGGUGACUAAACUUAUUGUGGUGAUAUUCCACAGUACAUGCAAAUGUCAGAUCACCAUGUUUUACACAUGAAACUAAUAUAAUACUGUAGGUCAAAAAUAGUUCAAUUAAAGUUUCUGGUAUAUGUCAUAUCUAAGAGUACAUUGGCCAUCAUAAAUAUUAAACACAAAUCUAUGCCUGUCUAGGUAUGAAAAUAUUAUUCAAAAAGCUCUUUGUAGAUUAGAAGUGAGCUUUUGGAUUUCCUUUGUGCUAGCACUUAAGGGCUUGGCAUUGUCACUUCUGAGGUGUGGGUUCAAUCCCAGGCCUGGAAAGUUUUAGUAUGAGGUAGGCACAGUCCCCCCACAAAAGAACAUAAUAUUACAAAAUAAAAAAUAAAAAAUAAAUUAGAAGCAAGCUUUUUAUGAAAUGGUUCUAACUCUCUAUUUCAUCUUUGUCUGGACCUCGAUUUUAGCACUUUUUAUAAUAUAAUUAUUUGUUUUCUCUGCCUAUCUUCUGCACAAGUCAUUGGCUUCUUCAAAAGCUUAGAUGGGGAAUUCCCCUUGUGGCUCAGCAUUAAUGAACCCGACUAGUAUCCAUGAGGAUACGGGUUUGAUCCCUGGCCCUGUUCAGUGCAUUAAGGACCUGGCAUUGCUGUGGCUGUGGUGUAGGCCGCAGCUGAAGCUCCCAUUCAGCCCCUAGCCUGAUAAUUUCCAUAUGCUGUGGGUGUGGCCCUAAAAAGACAGAAAAAAAAAAAAGCUUAGGGUGUAUAAGUUAUUACCUUCCUUAGUCUAACACAAUAAUUGGCACAUGUAAAGAAUUAGCCAAAUAUUUGUCAAAUGAGUAUAUUCAACAGUAUUCUGAGAGUAUAAAGUAUGAUUACCAUAAAAUCAUAAGCAAAGCUAUCUUUGUGUUAUCUAAAUUCUGACAUUAUCACACUACUUCUUGACUGGGAAAUAUCUUAUUCCCAUAACUACAGUACUGUCUUCCAAGUGUUCAUAUAAAUUAUGGUGACAAUUAGGAAACCUCUGACUUAAAAUCUGAAUUAAAAAGGGUAAAGAUUAAAUAAAUUGUUGAAAUUGUUGGAAUUUUAACCUUAUCACAACCUUUACAACCUUUAUAAAUUGUGGUCAUUUUAAUCAUCAAUGGAGAUGUUCAAAAUUAAAUUUUUGAAAGACAGUUAAUUUCAGUUGGUAGUAAUUCCAUAGCCCUGUCGAGGUAUCUUAAGAAGAACUUACACCUAUUUUAUUUUAUUUUAUUGUUUUUGGCUGUGCCCAUGGCAUAUGGAAAUUCUUUGGCUAGGAAUAGAAUCCAAGGUACAGCUGUGACCUGUGCUACAGCUGUGGCACUGCCAGAUCCUUUAACCCAAUGCCCAGGUAUCUAACCUGUGCCUUAGCAGCAACCUGAGCCAGGGUGGGAAAAAAUGCCAGAUCCUUAACCUGCUGUGCCACAUUGGAAAAUCCACACCAUAAUUUUAUAUAUACAAAUAAAUGAAACUUUCAUAUCAAGAUUUAUCUACAUAUAAACAAAACUGGUGGACAAAAAUUAAAGCAAUGCAUUAAUUUAUACUAAAUAUUUAGUAAUUUAUGUAAAUUUAGUAAAUCAUGAGAAAAAUAUUUUAAAAUCUGCAUAUCUGCCUUAUUUUUUCACUCUUCUCCAUGUCACUCUUGACUCUUCACUCACCAGAAAAUAGUUAAUAUUACACACCAACAAUGAUAAGAAGUCCCAUUAGGUCAUGGUGACCCACUUCCUACAAAUCCAUGAAUAAGUAAAUCUGACUUUCUUCUAGUUGCACAUAAUAUGUUUUAUUUAUUUAUUUGUUAUAGCUGCACCUACAGGAUAUGGAAGUUCCUGGGCAAGGGGUUAAAAAGGAGCUGCAGCUGCAGCCUACACCACAGCCACAGCAAUGCUGGAUUCAAGCCACAUGUGAGACCUACACCACAGCUUCCAGCAACAGUGGAUCCUUAAGCUACUGAGUGAGGCCAGGGAUCAAAUCUGCAUCCUCAUGGAUACUGUGUUAUGUUCUUAACCCACUGAGCCACAAUGGGAACUCCGACCUGCAUGUAAUAUGUUUAUUAAUUGUUCCUGUUGCUACUGCCUAAAAUACGCUCCCAGCCUAGUGUGUAAUGAAGGCAAUCACUUUCCUAGACUGAGCUGGUCACGUGGCACUGUGAAGUCCACAGCAGGUAAACGCUGCUUCUCAAGACUGUUGAUAAAUAUAAAUCAAAAUGAGAUGAGUUAUUAGUCAAAAUAACUAUUAUGUAAUUACAACUAUAUGACAGGAACAAUAAGAUGCUAUAAUUACUUCAGUGGCAAUAAUAUUAUGGAAACCCUGUGAUAAUAUUGACUCUUUACUGAACAUUUAGUAUGUACCAUGCCCUAGGCUAAAUGCUUUUCUCUCUAAAACUGAACCACUCAGUUGAGAGAGGAUAGGAUUUUUAAAUAUGCAGAUAAAUUAUGGAAUAGCUAAACUAUUUCAAAUUCUUAUUGGAAAAAAAGAAUUCCUUCUUGGGAGUUCUGAAAUGACUCAGUGGAAAAGAAUCUGACUAGCAUCCAUGAGGAUGCAGGUUUGAUCCCUGGCCUUGCUCAGUGGGUUGAGGAUCCCGCAUUUCUGUGGCUGUGGUAUAGGCCGGUGGCCAUAGCUCCAAUUUGACCCCUGGCCUGGGAUCUUCUGAAUGCCAUGGGUUUGGCCCUAAAGAAAAAAGAAGACCAAAAAAAAAAAAAAAAA
rnacentral:lncRNA from 1 species